UCCCAUUAAAUGGCCUUCUUGAUAAUUUGAUACUACUUGGGUCAAUAUUUUGAGGAGGUAUUAAUAUCUCCAAAAUCUCACCAGGAACAACUCAAGAAUCUUCAGAAGGCACCGAAUUAAUAUUCUUGUAAUAUGCCAUUAUAUACGUUUUCACCGAACAAUAUAGAGAUGUGUACUCAUAAAUUUGAGUUCUAUAUUAUGAACCAAAUUACGAUCAAAGCGCUAUCAUAUCAUAUGGAAAAGGUAUUUUGUCCAAGUUAAAAACUCUACAUGUACAAGAUUUUCUUUGAAGAUCGAUCGUGGCAAUAUCAUCAUGAGCGUCGCUACUGAACUUGUAAUUUGCUAUUUAAUAAGCCAAUAACUUAUUCCCCGAUUGGAGGUACUUUGAUAUUUUCUCCACAGGAGGAACAAGUCUAUUUAUUGAGUUCACGAACUCUAUAUAUAUGUCUUUCAUGAAAUAAUUUUGCAUACCUCUAAUUUAUUUCAUCAUAUAGUGCCACAAUGGGAAACUCUCUUUUAAUGUCAAACAUUGAAUUUAUCGAUUCAACUAUGUUUGACAUCAUAAUAUUAUACCUAUACAAAAAAAUCACAUAGUAUGACAUACAAUAUUAAAAUAAACUUAAACAAGACAUUAAAUUUAUAAUAAUUUACCUAUUUCCCAGACAAAAUACCCAGCUCUAUC
rnacentral:lncRNA from 1 species